rnacentral:rRNA from 1 species
GACGUAGGGUCCAAGCGUUGUCCGGAUUUACUGGGCGUAAAGAGCGCGUAGGCGGUCUGUUAAGUGUGAAGUGAAAUCUCCAGGGCUCAACCCGGAAACUGCUUCGCAUACUGGCAGACUUGAGGAAUGCAGAGGUAACUGGAAUUCCUGGAUGUAGCGGUGAAAUGCGUUGAUAUCAGGAGGAACACCCAUGGCGAAGGCAGGUUACUGGGGGCAUUAUCUACGCUGGAGGCGCGAAAGCGUGGGUAGCAAAACAGG